GAUUAUGGCUCAGGAUGAACGCUAGCGGCAGGCUUAACACAUGCAAGUCGAGGGGCAUCGGGAGUAGCAAUACUUGCCGGCGACCGGCGCAAGGGUGCGUAACGCGUGAGCAACAUGCCCGUAUCAGGGGGAUAAUCCAUGGAAACGUGGUCUAAUACCCCAUAGUAAUUAUGUAAGGCAUCUUAUAUAAUUUAAAGCUUUGGUGGAUACGGAUUGGCUCGCGUGACAUUAGCUGGAUGGUAAGGUAACGGCUUACCAUGGCUACGAUGUCUAGGGGUUCUGAGAGGAAGGUCCCCCACACUGGAACUGAGACACGGUCCAGACUCCUACGGGAGGCAGCAGUGAGGAAUAUUGGACAAUGGAUGGAAAUCUGAUCCAGCCAUGCCGCGUGCCAGGAAGACGGCCCUAUGGGUUGUAAACUGCUUUUGUAUGGGAGCAAUAAGGGCUACGUGUAGUCCGAUGAGAGUACCAUACGAAUAAGCACCGGCUAACUCCGUGCCAGCCGCCGC
rnacentral:rRNA from 1 species